CUAAUUAAUUAUCAGUUCCUAAUAAAUACUCAAAUUAGUAGGAGUAAUAGUCAUGUAUAUUAUAUUGUUAUCCAAACGAUUAAAAUGAUUAUACUGCACUUGAAAUAUGAACAUUGAAUAAUAUGGUUUCUCCAGAAUGGGGGUAAAAAAUAGCCCUGAACACACACACACACACACACACGCCACACAACAGAUCGGGGUAUAGGCAUUAGUGAUGUUG